UAAGCUAAUAGAAAAACCAGAAAAAGGCCUUAUCUUGAAAUUGCUGGGUUUUUGAUGGCGGUAAUAGCAUCCUUAGGCUUCAACCUCUUCUCCUCUCUCCCUCCAAAUUCUCAACCUAACGACCCAAAUCCCAACGCAACCUCCACCUCCGCCUCGCCGCCGAUCCCAAUUCCAAAAUACCCGCCUCCGCCGAUCAAAAAGGCCCGAAACAAUGCUGCUCCUCCUCCUCCCAACCCGGCCCUCAAAAACUUCCACCGCCGCACCAAAUACUACAAGCCCGUCCGCGACGGCGUCAUCACCACCGACGGCGACCGCGCCGUCGUCAUCGGCGAAAACGGCCUGUCGUACCAGCUCCCCGGCGCGCCGUUCGAGUUCCAGUACAGCUACUCGGAGACGCCAAAGGUCAAGCCUUUGGCGAUUCGCGAGCCGGCGUUCCUGCCGUUCGCGCCGCCGACAAUGCCGCGGCCGUGGACCGGAAAAGCGCCUUUGAAGAGCGCAAAGGAGAAGAAGAUGAAGCGGAAAGUCCCGCUCUUUGACUCGUUUAACCCACCGGCGCCGGGAACCAAAGGAGUGAAGCGGGUCGAAAUGCCCGGCCCAUUUGAUUUGGGGAAGCGCCCGAAACCCGGAAAAACGCGGGAGGAGAUUCUCGGCGAGCCGUUGAAGCGGUGGGAGGUGAAAAUGCUCGUAAAGGAGCAGUUGUCCGAUAGCCGGCAAGUCAAUCUCGGAAGAGAUGGAUUGACGCACAAUAUGUUGGAUUUGAUACAUUCGCAUUGGAAGAGACGCAGGGUGUGUAGAGUGAAAUGUAAAGGUGUUCCAACUGUGGAUAUGGAUAACAUUUGCCGCCAUAUUGAGGAAAGAACUGGGGGGAAGAUCAUUCAUCGAGUUGGUGGUGUAGUAUAUCUUUUUCGGGGAAGAAACUAUAACUAUAAUACCCGUCCGCAGUAUCCACUGAUGCUGUGGAAACCAGCUGCUCCGGUUUAUCCCAAACUGAUCCAGGAGGCUCCUGAAGGAUUGACAAAAGAUGAAGCUGAAGAGUUGAGAAAGAAAGGGAAAAGACUCUUGCCUAUAUGUACAUUAGCCAAAAAUGGAGUAUACAUCUCCUUGGUUAGAGAUGUUAGGCAUGCUUUUGAAGGAAGUUCUUUAGUAAAGGUUGACUGCAAAGGGAUGCAUGCAAGUGAUUACAAAAAGUUGGGUGCUAAGCUUAAGGAAUUGGUUCCUUGUGUACUGCUUUCUUUUGAUGAUGAACAGAUAUUGAUGUGGAGGGGACCAGAUUGGGUUUCAAUGUCCCAAGAGGUGCCUCCACAUUCAGAGUAUUCUGAUGUUGAUAUUACAACAUCAAAAGCGAGAGUUAAGGAUGACGAUGAUUCUAGUAAGCCAGACACGAAAACAGUGAUAUCAAGCCCUAAAAUGAUGUCGCUCUGGAAACACUCAAUUGAAACAAACAAAGCAUUGUUGCUAAAUGAACUUGACCUUGAUCCCGAUGCUCUCUUGAAGAAGGUUGAGGAAUUCGAAGGCAUUUCACAGGCCACAGAGCACUCCUAUCCAGCAUUAAUCCUCUCAAGCGAAGAUGGCACCAGCAGCGCAAUCCAAGUGUAUGAAGAUGUUCCUCAGAAUGGCCCUUAUAGCGAAUACGAAGACUCGUACAGUGAUAACAAUGACGAUUAUGUAUACGAUGAUGAUACCGAUGACGAUGCGUUAUACGAUAGUGAUUCACCCCCCUUGGGGUCAUUACCCGUUGAUGUAAUAGCAGAGAAACUCGAUCAUGAUUGAGUUAAAUAAAGUCUGCAAGACUGCAAUGCAGGCUCUUGUUCAUAACUUCUCAUUGUUACUCGAUACUGUUAAUGAGGGAGGUUAAUAUUUAGAUGUCCACGUGGAACGGUUUAACUGAUUUCCAGUUAUCUAUAAAAGGGACGGAGCUCCGCUGACUUGUUCGGACUCGUACAGGAAAAGUUUGUCCUGUCUUGUUCUUUGACCAAACAAAAAAAAUGCCUUCGUUCUUUAUUUUCCAGCUGCAAAUUAAAACCUCAAGAAUCUUAUAAUCCAAACUUGGGUAUUGAACAACCCAAGAGAUUUGGUCUAGCGGAAACUUGGUUAGGCCUGCAAGUUGGGUGAAUGGAACCUGGAUACUUAAAGAUAUGCAGCGUUCGAUCAUCCGCUUGUGAAAAACAUCUCCUGGGAAGAGAUUUAUCCAAAUCAGGUUCCGACUUGAAAUUGUAGUGCCAUCAUUUUGUUCAGAAAAAAAAAAAAAAAAAAAAAAAAAAAAAAA